rnacentral:rRNA from 1 species
UUAAGUUAUUAAGGGCGCACGGUGGAUGCCUUGGCACUAGAAGCCGAUGAAGGACGUUACUAACGACGAUAUGCUUUGGGGAGCUGUAAGUAAGCUUUGAUCCAGAGAUUUCCGAAUGGGGAAACCCAGCAUGAGUUAUGUCAUGUUAUCGAUAUGUGAAUACAUAGCAUAUCAGAAGGCACACCCGGAGAACUGAAACAUCUUAGUACCCGGAGGAAGAGAAAGAAAAUUCGAUUCCCUUAGUAGCGGCGAGCGAAACGGGAAGAGCCCAAACCAACAAGCUUGCUUGUUGGGGUUGUAGGACACUCUAUACGGAGUUACAAAGGACGACAUUAGACGAAUCAUCUGGAAAGAUGAAUCAAAGAAGGUAAUAAUCCUGUAGUCGAAAAUGUUGUCUCUCUUGAGUGGAUCCUGAGUACGACGGAGCACGUGAAAUUCCGUCGGAAUCUGGGAGGACCAUCUCCUAAGGCUAAAUACUCUCUAGUGACCGAUAGUGAACCAGUACCGUGAGGGAAAGGUGAAAAGCACCCCGGAAGGGGAGUGAAAUAGAACCUGAAACCGUGUGCUUACAAGUAGUCAGAGCCCGUUAAUGGGUGAUGGCGUGCCUUUUGUAGAAUGAACCGGCGAGUUACGAUUUGAUGCAAGGUUAAGCAGUAAAUGUGGAGCCGUAGCGAAAGCGAGUCUGAAUAGGGCGUUUAGUAUUUGGUCGUAGACCCGAAACCAGGUGAUCUACCCUUGGUCAGGUUGAAGUUCAGGUAACACUGAAUGGAGGACCGAACCGACUUACGUUGAAAAGUGAGCGGAUGAACUGAGGGUAGCGGAGAAAUUCCAAUCGAACCUGGAGAUAGCUGGUUCUCUCCGAAAUAGCUUUAGGGCUAGCCUCAAGUGAUGAUUAUUGGAGGUAGAGCACUGUUUGGACGAGGGGCCCCUCUCGGGUUACCGAAUUCAGACAAACUCCGAAUGCCAAUUAAUUUAACUUGGGAGUCAGAACAUGGGUGAUAAGGUCCGUGUUCGAAAGGGAAACAGCCCAGACCACCAGCUAAGGUCCCAAAAUAUAUGUUAAGUGGAAAAGGAUGUGGCGUUGCCCAGACAACUAGGAUGUUGGCUUAGAAGCAGCCAUCAUUUAAAGAGUGCGUAAUAGCUCACUAGUCGAGUGACACUGCGCCGAAAAUGUACCGGGGCUAAACAUAUUACCGAAGCUGUGGAUUGUCCUUUGGACAAUGGUAGGAGAGCGUUCUAAGGGCGUUGAAGCAUGAUCGUAAGGACAUGUGGAGCGCUUAGAAGUGAGAAUGCCGGUGUGAGUAGCGAAAGACGGGUGAGAAUCCCGUCCACCGAUUGACUAAGGUUUCCAGAGGAAGGCUCGUCCGCUCUGGGUUAGUCGGGUCCUAAGCUGAGGCCGACAGGCGUAGGCGAUGGAUAACAGGUUGAUAUUCCUGUACCACCUAUAAUCGUUUUAAUCGAUGGGGGGACGCAGUAGGAUAGGCGAAGCGUGCGAUUGGAUUGCACGUCUAAGCAGUAAGGCUGAGUAUUAGGCAAAUCCGGUACUCGUUAAGGCUGAGCUGUGAUGGGGAGAAGACGUUGUGUCUUCGAGUCGUUGAUUUCACACUGCCGAGAAAAGCCUCUAGAUAGAAAAUAGGUGCCCGUACCGCAAACCGACACAGGUAGUCAAGAUGAGAAUUCUAAGGUGAGCGAGCGAACUCUCGUUAAGGAACUCGGCAAAAUGACCCCGUAACUUCGGGAGAAGGGGUGCUCUUUAGGGUUAACGCCCAGAAGAGCCGCAGUGAAUAGGCCCAAGCGACUGUUUAUCAAAAACACAGGUCUCUGCUAAACCGUAAGGUGAUGUAUAGGGGCUGACGCCUGCCCGGUGCUGGAAGGUUAAGAGGAGUGGUUAGCUUCUGCGAAGCUACGAAUCGAAGCCCCAGUAAACGGCGGCCGUAACUAUAACGGUCCUAAGGUAGCGAAAUUCCUUGUCGGGUAAGUUCCGACCCGCACGAAAGGCGUAACGAUUUGGGCACUGUCUCAACGAGAGACUCGGUGAAAUCAUAGUACCUGUGAAGAUGCAGGUUACCCGCGACAGGACGGAAAGACCCCGUGGAGCUUUACUGUAGCCUGAUAUUGAAAUUCGGCACAGCUUGUACAGGAUAGGUAGGAGCCUUUGAAACGUGAGCGCUAGCUUACGUGGAGGCGCUGGUGGGAUACUACCCUAGCUGUGUUGGCUUUCUAACCUGCACCACUUAUCGUGGUGGGAGACAGUGUCAGGCGGGCAGUUUGACUGGGGCGGUCGCCUCCUAAAAGGUAACGGAGGCGCUCAAAGGUUCCCUCAGAAUGGUUGGAAAUCAUUCAUAGAGUGUAAAGGCAUAAGGGAGCUUGACUGCGAGACCUACAAGUCGAGCAGGGUCGAAAGACGGACUUAGUGAUCCGGUGGUUCCGCAUGGAAGGGCCAUCGCUCAACGGAUAAAAGCUACCCCGGGGAUAACAGGCUUAUCUCCCCCAAGAGUUCACAUCGACGGGGAGGUUUGGCACCUCGAUGUCGGCUCAUCGCAUCCUGGGGCUGUAGUCGGUCCCAAGGGUUGGGCUGUUCGCCCAUUAAAGCGGUACGCGAGCUGGGUUCAGAACGUCGUGAGACAGUUCGGUCCCUAUCCGUCGUGGGCGUAGGAAAUUUGAGAGGAGCUGUCCUUAGUACGAGAGGACCGGGAUGGACAUACCUCUGGUGUACCAGUUGUCGUGCCAACGGCAUAGCUGGGUAGCUAUGUGUGGACGGGAUAAGUGCUGAAAGCAUCUAAGCAUGAAGCCCCCCUCAAGAUGAGAUUUCCCAACUUCGGUUAUAAGAUCCCUCAAAGAUGAUGAGGUUAAUAGGUUCGAGGUGGAAGCAUGGUGACAUGUGGAGCUGACGAAUACUAAUCGAUCGAAGACUUAAUCAA